UACGUAGGGCGCAAGCGUUGUCCGGAAUUAUUGGGCGUAAAGAGCUCGUAGGCGGCUUGUCACGGCGAUUGUGAAAGCCCGAGGCUUAACCUCGGGUCUGCAGUCGAUACGGGCUAGCUAGAGUGUGGUAGGGGAGAUCGGAAUUCCUGGUGUAGCGGUGAAAUGCGCAGAUAUCAGGAGGAACACCGGUGGCGAAGGCGGAUCUCUGGGCCAUUACUGACGCUGAGGAGCGAAAGCGUGGGGAGCGAACAGG
rnacentral:rRNA from 1 species